CGGGGCGUAGUACAGUGGUUAGUAUGCAGGGCUGGGGGUCCUGUGACCCGGGUUCAACUCCCGGCGCCCCGA
rnacentral:tRNA from 2 species